rnacentral:rRNA from 1 species
UACGUAGGUGGCAAGCGUUAUCCGGAUUUAUUGGGUGUAAAGGGCGUGUAGGCGGGAGCGCAAGUCAGAUGUGAAAACUCAGGGCUCAACCCUGAGCCUGCAUUUGAAACUGUGUUUCUUGAGUGCUGGAGAGGCAAUCGGAAUUCCGUGUGUAGCGGUGAAAUGCGUAGAUAUACGGAGGAACACCAGUGGCGAAGGCGGAUUGCUGGACAGUGACUGACGCUGAGGCGCGAAAGCGUGGGGAGCAAACAGG